GGACCCCAGUGUACUACAGAGAUGCCUGAAUUGAAAUUAGCUCUGACUGGCCUUGAAGCAGUUAAUUGCAGGGAAGAUGUGAAUUACACGUCUCAACGUUUACCAGAUGAAAAAUUGCAACUAUAAAGAAAGUGUCAGACAUUUUUAUGUUGCUCCAAUUAUACUCUACAUGGGAACAUCAUUUUUUCUCCCAGCCUUUUAAAAUACCAGCUUGGCAAACCUUAACCUGGACGGCUUAAUUUAACUCGUCUCUUUUUGAUGGUAUCCAGAAAGGAAGGAGCCUCCGAUGCUGGUUAAUUCCAAAGAGAGACACAAAAUGCUGGAGUGACUCAGUGGGUCAGGCAGCAUCUCUGGAGAAAGAAAAAUAGGUGACGUUUCGGUUCGGAACCCUUCUUCAGAAUCUGAAAAGUGCUGUUUCGGAUGAAGCACAAUUCUGAUUGCUUUAGUUUUCUGUGAUCUGUGGGGAACGGAGUCAAUACGCAUCAAACGUGUAAAAAGGAUUGAAGAGCAAUUUGCUGUUGAAGAGGUUUACAUGGACUUUCAGAAGGUACUUGAAUUCAGGCCGUGUCUACUCAACCUCUCUUCAUGUGGAAAAUCUAUCAUCCCUGGAACCAACAUCGGGAAUCUUCGGUGCAUUCCCUCAACGGCGAGUAUAUUAUUUUUCAGGGAAGAGAUCAAAACUGUGUGGACAGUAUUCUAGGUACGGAAUCAUCAAGGCCCCACAUAAUUGCAGUAAGACAUUUUUCUUCUGCACUAAAAAUCUUCUCAUAAUAAAGGCACACAUAUUAUUUGCCAUCCAUCUGCUCACUCCACUUGCAUAUUAGCUUCCUGUGAUUGGUAUAUAAGAGCACUGAGGUUGUUUGGAACAUCAAUAAUAGUUUAUCUCUCACCUGUUUAAAAAAUACUUUACUGUUUUUUGACUGGAAUAAGGGAAAAGCUGAUGGGAAAAUGAGUCAAAUGGGAACUUGACCUGUCUCCAAACUGUUCUGUGAUGUCACGUGUAACGCUCACGUGCGGUGCUCAGGUUAAUUAGUCUAUCCUCGCUCCAAUUUGAGAUAAAUUCAUCUUAUACAUCAGUUGGGGGAAAAUAAGAUGUAUACACGCUUCUUGGAUAUAUUAUGUCCGUAUAUAAGAUCAAUUCAGUUUGAAGGGUGAGAAUACAUUAAGUGCUUUCUGGGGGUUUUAACCUGUUCACUCGACUAAGUGAUGUGUGUGUAUGUGUAUGUUUUUUUUUUAGAGAGAUAGAGAAUGAAGGAACAGUGUUUUUCAACAUGAGAGAGUGCUCGUCUGAGUGUGUGUUUUAGAGACACAGAGAGUGCAGGAACUGUGUGUUUUCCCCACAC